GGCGGCAGGCCUAACACAUGCAAGUCGAACGGAGUUAUAUUGUAGCUUGCUAUGGUAUAACUUAGUGGCAGACGGGUGAGUAAUGUAUAGGAAUCUACCUAGUAGUACGGAAUAAUUGUUGGAAACGGUAACUAAUACCGUAUACGCCCUACGGGGGAAAAAUUUAUUGCUAUUAGAUGAGCCUAUAUUAGAUUAGCUAGUUGGUGGAGUAAUAGCCUACCAAGGCAAUGAUCUAUAGCUGAUCUGAGAGGAUGAUCAGCCAUACUGGAACUGAGAUACGGUCCAGACUCCUACGGGAGGCAGCAGUGGGGAAUAUUGGACAAUGGGCGGAAGCCUGAUCCAGCCAUGCCGCAUGAGUGAAGAAGGCCUUUGGGUUGUAAAGCUCUUUUAGUGAGGAAGAUAAUGACGGUACUCACAGAAGAAGUCCUGGCUAACUCCGUGCCAGCAGCCGCGGUAAUACGGAGAGGGCUAGCGUUAUUCGGAAUUAUUGGGCGUAAAGGGCGCGUAGGCUGGUUAGUAAGUUAAAAGUGAAAUCCCGAGGCUUAACCUUGGAAUUGCUUUUAAAACUGCUAACCUAGAGAUUGAAAGAGGAUAGAGGAAUUCCUAGUGUAGAGGUGAAAUUCGUAAAUAUUAGGAGGAACACCAGUGGCGAAGGCGUCUAUCUGGUUCAAAUCUGACGCUGAGGCGCGAAGGCGUGGGGAGCAAACAGGAUUAGAUACCCUGGUAGUCCACGCUGUAAACGAUGAAUGUUAAAUAUGGGGAGUUUACUUUCUGUAUUACAGCUAACGCGUUAAACAUUCCGCCUGGGGACUACGGUCGCAAGAUUAAAACUCAAAGGAAUUGACGGGGACCCGCACAAGCGGUGGAGCAUGUGGUUUAAUUCGAUGCAACGCGAAAAACCUUACCACUCCUUGACAUGGAAAUUAUACCUAUUCGAAGGGAUAGGG
rnacentral:rRNA from 1 species